CUAGGACAUCCAUAUACCAAUCGAACACUAACUCUUGCUCAUAUACGCUAAAAGGUGCACUAGGCCAAACAUCAUAAUAAAUCUCAGUUAAAAUUUCACUCCAAGACUCUCGAAGAGAGUCCGCUAAAAUAGCUAAUGCUUCCCAAUCAGUAAUUUCUACGUAAUUAGCCAAUUAAGCUCUUUUUAUCUUAAAAAGGUGUACAUGUUCAGGAACGGAAACAUCAGGGCCCAUCUUAAAUUCCUUAAACUCCCUAAAUUUCUUUUCUCUUUCCCUUCGUUCAGCCCUUCGAUCCUUAACUCAUUUUGCCUCGCCCUUGGGACAUUCCUGAUGACUUCAGGCUCCAAAUCUGAAUCAUUAUAGAAAUAAGUCAUGCGACGACGUACCCUUCUAUGUUGUCCCCUUCCUUGUCUUCGAGAACUCCCACUUGGAGUAAUUUGAACUUGUCCCUGUUUAGCUAUAUCUGAAAUAGGACCAAGGAAACAAUAAGAAUGGCUACAACCAUUCAGUGUGAAAAUAUACAUCACAAUUGCUUGUAGGAGGAUGUUAAUUUAAGGGAUUAAGACUAACCAAAAUUUUCUAUUUAAUAAAACAAGAGUUAUCUACUGUCAACAAAUGCAUAUUAAUUAUAAAACAAAUCCGAAAAUAACCUUAUUUUGCUUCUGUGUUUUCCAACUUUGAACAAGAUAUCAACAUGGCAGUUGAAAUAUUGGUUGGAGAGAAUAACCAAUCUUUAUGAAUUCUUAUUUCUUGAAGAGAUUUCUUUCUUAUAAUGCCAAAAGAAUAAAUAUAGGCACAACUACUGUUCUUCAAAAAACAAAUAUCAACUGGUAUUAUUUUCAAUUUUACAAAGGAUUCAAAUACUCAUUAUGUGGGAUUAUUAAAAAUUUUGAGUACGUGAAGCACUAGUAUUUGAAACUAAAAGGAACAUCACUAUGUAAAAUAAAACACCAACAAACUACAAAAUAUUGUUACUGGACUGCAAAUAAGAUUGCAUUCCCUUCAAAAAAAACUUGGACUUAACAAUUCUUACUUGGCAACACUAGCAAACCCAUUAAAGUUUAUAGAGGGAGGAUAUAAAUAUAUCAUCUUUCACAUGUGUUGCAGCAAACAGUACUUUAGCAGAGAAAAGUUAAAAUUGAAAGAUGACAGAAGAUCAAUGCUCUUAUUCACGAAACCAAUUACUUUGACGCAAUUUGCGGCACCGUAAAAAAAAUCUACAAAUCAAUUUAAUUUAUUCCAUGUUUAAAGAAACAAGAAACAACCUAGCUCUGAUACCAUUGUUGGAUUAAUAAUCGUGUGGCGAUAACAACAAGUUGUGUACCUUAUUAACGCAGCGGAAACUGUUGAACUCACCACCAAAAGAAUUGCCCCAAAUCAUAUUCUUAAUCUCCAGGAAACAGAGUUUUUGUUCACGAUCUAAAUACAUUUAUCACAGUGUGUUUUCUUGAGGGAAAAUUACUUCAAGACUACUAUCUUUCUCUGUUGAGGAAGAAAGAUAUAUAUAAAGGAGAGAGAGGAGUUUCAAUUGAGGAAAAAAUCGCCCGCUCACAUUCAAUCACACGUUCCCAUUCUCUCUCUAAUGUGCAGCGAUUUUUAUUUUAUUUUAUCUGUGUUUUAAC
rnacentral:lncRNA from 1 species